rnacentral:rRNA from 1 species
GCUGGCGGCGUGCCUAAUACAUGCAAGUCGAGCGAACAGACGAGGAGCUUGCUCCUCUGACGUUAGCGGCGGACGGGUGAGUAACACGUGGAUAACCUACCUAUAAGACUGGGAUAACUUCGGGAAACCGGAGCUAAUACCGGAUAACAUGUUGAACCGCAUGGUUCAACAGUGAAAGACGGUCUUGCUGUCACUUAUAGAUGGAUCCGCGCCGCAUUAGCUAGUUGGUAAGGUAACGGCUUACCAAGGCAACGAUGCGUAGCCGACCUGAGAGGGUGAUCGGCCACACUGGAACUGAGACACGGUCCAGACUCCUACGGGAGGCAGCAGUAGGGAAUCUUCCGCAAUGGGCGAAAGCCUGACGGAGCAACGCCGCGUGAGUGAAGAAGGUCUUCGGAUCGUAAAACUCUGUUAUUAGGGAAGAACAAAUGUGUAAGUAACUAUGCACGUCUG